rnacentral:lncRNA from 1 species
AAAAAAGUCAGCUGCCAGCGAGUUUAGAUGCUUGUUGGAACCAGAAUUAACUGAAUAACAAAAAACAUUAUUUGAGAAACAUUCUGGUUGCCAACAUUCACAACUAUUAUUAUUCACAAACUGCUGCACGACCACCUGCAGAUCUGACUGAAUUAAAAAAAAAUGUGCCCCAACCCAACAAGACUGUAGAAUAUGCAUUUAAAAUGCCAUUUAAGCAAGCAAAGUC